AGAGUUUGAUCCUGGCUCAGAACGAACGCUGGCGGCAGGCCUAACACAUGCAAGUCGAGCGGGGGAGCAAUCCCUAGCGGCGGACGGGUGAGUAACGCGUGGGAGCGUACCCUUUGCUACGGAAUAGCCCUGGGAAACCGGGAGUAAUACCGUAUGUGCCCGAGAGGGGAAAGAUUUAUCGGCAAAGGAUCGGCCCGCGUUGGAUUAGGUAGUUGGUGGGGUAAUGGCCUACCAAGCCGACGAUCCAUAGCUGGUUUGAGAGGAUGAUCAGCCACACUGGGACUGAGACACGGCCCAGACUCCUACGGGAGGCAGCAGUGGGGAAUCUUAGACAAUGGGGGAAACCCUGAUCUAGCCAUGCCGCGUGAGCGAUGAAGGCCUUAGGGUUGUAAAGCUCUUUCGUGGGGGAAGAUAAUGACGGUACCCCAAGAAGAAGCCCCGGCUAACUCCGUGCCAGCAGCCGCGGUAAUACGGAGGGGGCUAGCGUUGUUCGGAAUUACUGGGCGUAAAGCGCACGCAGGCGGGCCGGAAAGUCAGAGGUGAAAUCCCGGGGCUCAACCCCGGAACGGCCUUUGAAACUCCUGGUCUUGAGGUCGAGAGAGGUGAGUGGAAUUCCGAGUGUAGAGGUGAAAUUCGUAGAUAUUCAGAGGAACACCAGUGGCGAAGGCGGCUCACUGGCUCGAUACUGACGCUGAGGUGCG
rnacentral:rRNA from 1 species